rnacentral:misc_RNA from 1 species
GAUGAAGAACGCAGCGAAAUGCGAUAAGUAGUGUGAAUUGCAGAAUUCAGUGAUUCAUCGAAUCUUUGAACGCACAUUGCGCCCCAUGGUAUUCCGUGGGGCAUGCCUGUUCGAGCGUCAUUUACCCCCUCAAGCUCCGCUUGGUGUUGGGCGUCUGUCCCGCUUCGCGCGCGGACUCGCCCCAAAGGUAUUGGCAGCGGUCGUGCCAGCUUCUCGCGCAGCACAUUGCGCUUCUCGAGGCACCGGUGGGCCCGCGUCCAUCAAGCUCACCCCCCCAGUUUGACCUCGGAUCAGGUAGGGAUACCCGCUGAACUUAAGCAUAUCAAUAAGCGGAGGA